rnacentral:tRNA from 1 species
GGGGCGUUAGCUCAGUUGGUAGAGCAGCGGCCUUUUAAGCCGCGUGUCAUUGGUUCGAGCCCAAUACGCCUCACCA